UUGAUACUGUGUACAUUUUUUGUCAUUUCUGAUGUCUUUAACAGUUGUUUUAUGUGUGUUUUUCAGGAUUACAUUUCUGUGCGGAAGGAUUAAAAAACUACACCAGACUGGUGGCCAUGACAGAUGUCAGUGGGAAAUUUAAACAUGGACUAGAUACUUUGAUGUGUAGCAAAAAAGUUCAUCGUUGAUGGUGGUGUUUUUCUGUGAUAUAUUGACUGGGAUAGUAUUACUCUUCAGAAAUACAGAGCUGUCAAUGCUGCAAUUUUGUUGUGAAAUUCACAAUCCAUGUCCAAAAGUGCUUGUUUUACUAUACAGCAAAGAAGGAGAAAUUAUACCGGGCCGACACCUAUAUGGCAAAUUCAGAAAGUGGAAUAUCUCAGCAACCAUAGGGUUUACAGUCAUGAAACUUCACACACUAGUAGCUGAUAACAAUACAAAUCAGUGGCUAAAAGGAUAUUUCCAAGGCGAUGAAUUCCAUAUGUCAGAAGGAAAUUUAGAAUCGUACAACCAGUCAGCAGCUACCCAUAAACCAGACCAACCUAUUAAGUCGAGCGGGCAGAAGCUGUGAUUCCCAGUGUAACACCGCAGAAUGACGGCUAGUUUUCGAAAGUGGAAUAUCUCAGCAACCAUAGGGUUUACAGUCAUGAAACUUCACACACUAGUAGCUGAUAACAAUACAAAUCAGUGGCUAAAAGGAUAUUUCCAAGGCGAUGAAUUCCAUAUGUCAGAAGGAAAUUUAGAAUCGUACAACCAGUCAGCAGCUACCCAUAAACCAGACCAACCUAUUAAGUCGAGCGGGCAGAAGCUGUGAUUCCCAGUGUAACACCGCAGAAUGACAGCUAGUUUUCGGAUUACAUUUCUGUGCGGAAGGAUUAAAAAACUACACCAGACUGGUGGCCAUGACAGAUGUCAGUGGGAAAUUUAAACAUGGACUAGAUACUUUGAUGUGUAGCAAAAAAGUUCAUCGUUGAUGGUGGUGUUUUUCUGUGAUAUAUUGACUGGGAUAGUAUUACUCUUCAGAAAUACAGAGCUGUCAAUGCUGCAAUUUUGUUGUGAAAUUCACAAUCCAUGUCCAAAUGUGCUUGUUUUACUAUACAGCAAAGAAGGAGAAAUUAUACCGGGCCGACACCUUAGGCCUACAUUGAUUUUGCAGACGCUCAAACCGGAACUGUAGUGAUUGCGCUCAAUGAUAUAUUAUCUUUAUAAAAUGUAAACAAUUCUUGGCGUGGCGCGUACAGAUGUCAGUACUGACACUACGGAAAGAGACAAGUCAGAAUACAAGGGAAGGCCAAAUGCAAAUCAGAAAUCAGGUUGAAAAGAAUUAUAUGAUGCUAAGUAAAUGUUAUAUUAGACUGCAAUUUAUAUCUCUUUUCCAAAAUAUUGAGAAGGCCAAACUAUACUUUGGCCCCCCCUCUCCUAGCUUUGGGGGGGCCUGGCCCCCGCUGCUCCUACGCCUAUGAAUUGUCAUCUUCAAAAAAGGGGACAGAUUAAGGGAAAAUUAUAAAUGAUAUUAUGCUGGUAGGGAAAUCGAAAUUGUUAGUACUUUCAGUUAUUUAGGGGUUGUUUUUUCAAGCGGUGGGUCUUUUAUUCAUGCCACGAGAACAUUAGCCGGAAAAGGUCUACGCGCUAUGAAUUCUCUAUUUAGUGUUACUGGAAAUAUGGAAUACCUGUAAAUACAAGUUAAAGCAUACCAAAAGUUCCUUCUAGGGCACAUCUAUAUAAAUAUAAAAUGACCAUCUUGUAAAAUGUUGGUUGCAAUGUCUGUUUUAUACUGCCAAAAAAUAUCAGGUAAGUAUUUACGCUAGUUAUUUAACAUAAAUUGUUAAAUCCACCAACAAAUUAAAUCUGUUACCUCCUUCAGUAGAUUAAAGUAGAUAAUUACCGGGGCCGGCAGGCAAUUAAGCAUAUAUGCAUUAGGGGAGGAGCUUUACUAUCUAUGAGAGAGUCAGCAGACGACUGUAAUCUGAUCAUGUAAACACAGAAUUCGUCUGCUUGAUAUCUAAAAGCAUCUAAUGCAGCAAUAAGACAUUGACCUGGUUAUUUGAUGUGGGGAAAUUUGUUACACAUAAUUAUAGGGUCGCAAUGGGGUUUGUUUUCAUAUAUUAAGUUAUUAACCAUGCAUUUGAAGGUAACGAUAAUAUUUGGUUGUUUACAUUUAAAUUUGCUGAUAUAUGUCUAUCUGGUGAAUGUACCUAUGUUAUGUUCAGGAGGAAAUAAAAGAAUCAAUUAAUCA